UACAGAGGGGGCAAGCGUUAUUCGGAAUUAUUGGGCGUAAAGGGCGCGUAGGCGGUUUCUUAAGUGAGAUGUGUAAUCCCCGGGCUUAACCUGGGAACUGCAUCUCAUACUGGGGGGCUAGAGUACUGGAGAGGGUGGUAGAAUUCCACGUGUAGCGGUGAAAUGCGUAGAGAUGUGGAGGAAUACCAGUGGCGAAGGCGGCCACCUGGACAGUAACUGACGCUGAGGCGCGAAAGUGUGGGGAGCAAACAGG
rnacentral:rRNA from 1 species